rnacentral:rRNA from 1 species
GAUGAACGCUGGCGGCGUGCCUAAUACAUGCAAGUCGAGCGAACAGACGAGGAGCUUGCUCCUUUGACGUUAGCGGCGGACGGGUGAGUAACACGUAGGUAACCUACCUAUAAGACUGGGAUAACUUCGGGAAACCGGAGCUAAUACCGGAUAAUAUUUCGAACCGCAUGGUUCGAUAGUGAAAGAUGGCUUUGCUAUCACUUCUAGAUGGACCUGCGCCGUAUUAGCUAGUUGGUAAGGUAACGGCUUACCAAGGCAACGAUACGUAGCCGACCUGAGAGGGGGAUAGGCCACCCUGGAACUGAGACACGGUCCAGACUCCUACGGGAGGCAGCAGUAGGGAAUCUUCCGCAAUGGGCGAAAGCCUGACGGAGCAACGCCGCGUGAGUGAUGAAGGUCUUCGGAUCGUAAAACUCUGUUAUUAGGGAAGAACAAACGUGUAAGUAACUGUGCACGUAUUGACGGUACCUAAUCAGAAAGCCACGGCUAACUACGUG